AUACGGAGGGUGCAAACGUUAAUCGGAAUUACUGGGCGUAAAGCGCGCGUAGGUGGUUUAGUAAGUCGGAUGUGAAAGCCCUGGGCUCAACCUGGGAAUUGCAUUCGAUACUGCUUGACUAGAGUAUGGUAGAGGGAAGUGGAAUUUCCGGUGUAGCGGUGAAAUGCGUAGAUAUCGGAAGGAACACCAGUGGCGAAGGCGACUUUCUGGGCCAAUACUGACGCUGAGGUGCGAAAGCGUGGGGAGCAAACAGGAUUAGAAACCCCAGUAGUCC
rnacentral:rRNA from 1 species